rnacentral:lncRNA from 1 species
GAUCUAGCUUAUUCUUGAGAUUGGAGGGCUAGGAUCCACUUGUUGCAAAGCUACCCGCUCCGUUGAGGGAAAGGCGAAGUUAUCUACUCGUAUUCAGCCCCGACCUAUACUUGACUUGCAUGCAGAACCGCUGGCUGCUCACUUUCCACUUGACCUUGAAACCGCUGCACGUUUGAUUCAAGAGUGGACUUUCCCCGUACGGAGUCAGAUCCGUAUUCCUCACCUGCUUGAACACCUUCUUUUGAGUCUUCAGUGGGUUCAACACCAAUACAAAUCUUUCGAGUCGUUUAACCUUCACCUAUGUUUCACUAUGCUAUAAUAGCAAAUCCAUCCCACCAUUGAGGUACCUAUUGGCUAGCUCUUCUAAUGUAUUUCUGCCUAGAAUAGAAAGCCCUAUUGCUUGCUCGUUUCUUAAACCCUAGAAAGAAAGAGAGCCCUGUUGUUGCUAAUCUAAGAAUUUGAGACCCGGACUUUAGCCUCGAAAUAAGCACUUGUUGUUCCGAGUGAAAUAGUAAUUGAAGCAGAAAUGGAUACUCCCCUUGAUACUUUACCUCGACCUGGACCCGCUUUAUACUCUUUUUCGAUUUCUUCCCCUGGGGGGCACAAUAAUGGAAUCUAUCUCUUGUGCAUAUGGUAUAGAUCCCAGGAAAUACACUGAUCUUUACCCCUGCAUAUGACUAAUAGCCUUGACUAUCUUAUCUUUACCCCUGCAUAUGACUAAUAGCCUUGACUAUCUUCUGAUUCUCUUUCCGACCUAACCUAUACUUCAAGUGUUGAACCGACAACACCAAUAUACUGAACUCGAACAGAACCACUGGCUGCUUCAUCUGUUGAAACUGCUUCUUAUCGAGUCUAUUCCACUGCUGCCUUUCUUUACGGUAUCAACUUAAGGCCAAAAGGGGUAUACUCAAGAUCCCUAUGUUGGGAGUUCGGUUUACAGUGUUGUUGUCCUGUCCUAUCAAGAAAAGAUAGAAUCCACAGUAGAGGG